UAAAUACAAACAAGUCUUUAUUUUCCUCUGUCUUUUUGAUGGUUACAAGCAAUAGUUUAGGUUAUAAUCAAGUAAAAAUAGUCUGUUAUCAGGUAUACUAUAUAGAGAAGUAGAGACAGGUAGGAAAAAAUCCUCUCUGUACACAGAUAGCAGUGUUUGCACAGUGCUAGAAAAAGGCAAGGCUGGAUGAAGCCAAAAUAGUGGAAGAGGGUGGAAAUUAAUCAAUUCACAGAAAUCCAGAUGUUCUGCAUACUCGGAGCCAAGUCUCUGCAUCCUGACUGCCAGAGAUUUUCAUGUUUCCUCCAGAUGUCUGCUUUCAGACUGAAUGAUCAGUUCUUACCUGGAAAAUUGCUACUCUUUGAGAAAAGGAAAGUUGGUUCUUGGCUGAAUCAUGCAACGGCUCUCAACGUAUCUGCCAGAACUGGCACAUGGCAUUGCUAUUCAUAUUUCACUGGCCAAACCAAGUCACAUGGUAAGACCUGAUAUUAAGGAAGCAUUAUGUCCCAACAUGGAUGUCCCAUAAAAGCACCCUGUAACAUCAUGCAGCAAAUGUUGACCUUAAUCCAAUCUACCCAAUGACUUCCUCAUUCUAUCAUACAUUUUCUUCAUUGACCGGCCGCCCUGUCUCCUCAAGUCAACAGCAAGUGUCUCUCUGUUGAACAAGUGGUGAGUCAAUUCCCUCAGCUAGUGAAAGGGCCAUUCCUACCAGAUGGAAAAUGUAUCUUGUGUAGUGAAAGCAGUUUGGAAAGAUGUAGGUUGAUGAGUGACAAGAUUUAAGAGCUUAGAAGAGGUAUUGGCCAACAGAAGACAACUGGGCCUUUGGAAAUGGGUAAAAAGUUCAACAACAACACCACCAAAGCAACAGCAAAAGAGACCACACAUUUCUGGAAUCAUAUAUUAAACUAUUUCAAUCAUUUAACUAAAAUGUAGAACACUUCUGCAUACAGCUGUCAUUGAAUGAAUGCACUGUGAUCACUCAGAAAGAUUCAAGCUG
ensembl:lncRNA